UACGUAGGGAGCAAGCGUUGUUCGGAAUUAUUGGGCGUAAAGAGCGCGUAGGCGGUUCGGUAAGUCUGACGUGAAAUCCCGGAGCUCAACUCCGGAACUGCGUUGGAUACUGCCGGGCUUGAGUGUGGGAGAGGAGAGUGGAAUUCCCAGUGUAGAGGUGAAAUUCGUAGAUAUUCGGAGGAACACCGAUGGCGAAGGCAGCCUCCUGGGGCCAGUACUGACGCUCAUGCACGAAAAGCGUGGGGGAGCAAAA
rnacentral:rRNA from 1 species